AGAGUUUGAUUCUGGCUCAGGACGAACGCUGGCGGCACGCUUAACACAUGCAAGUCGAACGAGCGAAAGGUGCUUGCACCUCUAGCUAGUGGCGGACGGGUGAGUAACACGUGAGCAAUCUGCCUUUCGGUGGGGGAUACCAAUUGGAAACGAUUGUUAAUACCCCAUAACAUAACGAAGCCGCAUGACUUUGUUAUCAAAGAUUUAUUGCCGGAAGAUGAGCUCGCGUCUGAUUAGGUAGUUGGUGAGGUAACGGCUCACCAAGCCGACGAUCAGUAGCCGGACUGAGAGGUUGAACGGCCACAUUGGGACUGAGACACGGCCCAGACUCCUACGGGAGGCAGCAGUGGGGAAUAUUGCACAAUGGGCGAAAGCCCUGAUGCAGCGAUGCCGCGUGAGGGAAGAAGGUUUUAGGAUUGUAAACCUCUGUCUUUGGGGACGAUAAUGACGGUACCCAAGGAGGAAGCUCCGGCUAACUACGUGCCAGCCGCCGC
rnacentral:rRNA from 1 species